UGCCGUUGAACUGCGUUUAAAAGAUUUAAAAGUUCAUAAAAGUCGAUAAUUGUGACUUUGGCGUGAUUAAACUGUCGUAUGUUGGUUGAUAUUGUGUCCGACUCGCCCUGUGCGUUGAGUCUUACUGUAAUUGUUGUAAAUGUUUUAUUUAAUGAAUCGCGGUAAAAAGCCUGAAGGCUAAUGUUAGCAUGCUAGGCGGCCCCAGUACAGAGGGGAGGAAACCCCGUUGGUCCGGCUAACGGCUGCAUCCUGUCAGCUCCAGCCUGCGGAGUGUUUAUGGUGAUGCAGAUAUCGUUACGGGUGAUGGAGAUUGAAAAACCGACUGAAAGUCCAGAACUGUGCCGGGGUUACUGAUUGAUGCCAGAACACAAGGUGGAGUACAUCGGCAGACACACACGCCCUACGGACAACAGCGCUGGAACCGGAAGAGGGAAGCAGCCUUCCAGAUGACUGACUGAUUGGUCCCAGAGCCAUAAUAGUGCCAUUGAUCUCACUUAGGGACGAAAGCCCUUGGAACAGCCUGAACAUGCUGGUCCAGAUGCUGCCCUGGCAAAGAACCCAUCGAUUGAUCUAUGAAGUUCAGGUGCUAGUCUCCUGGGAAACUCUUACAGGGUAACUUCAGAUAUCUUUGACAAGCCACUAACCACAGUCUGCAGGACCAUACAUUUCCCCAAACCAGAAGCGAUGGAGUAGGCGGGACUGACUUUGUCGCCUUGCUGACCAUGAGGCCUUCUGCUGUGCUGCCGGUGCCGCGUCAGGAUUCUUCCUCCUGCAGAGCCACAGAAGAAAUGCUGUAUUUCCCCUCAGUGCUGCUGCAGGGCCUUUGUGAUGCCACAGGCCCAUUUCUGGAUGUGUACAUUGGCAAUCCAGGAUCUGUACAAAGUACCAACCUGUAUCCACCAGCUGGGUACUUCCUGUUAGGAGAUGGAGGAUAUCUAUUGCACCACCGCCAGGUGGCAGCACUCACACUACCAGCCUCUUCUCAUUUGACUGUGGGUGGGACCCUAAGCUGCUGGAAAUUGGGUUUUAAUGACACUGUGAAACUGUUUCCUCAGUUGUCCCUUGAUUAAAAUAUGAUUUAUGCGAGUUUUAAUGCA